GCUUAUCAAGUUUUCUGUUUAUUCUUAGCAAUAUUCACUGAUUUGCAUAGGCUAACAUAUUGGAUUAAUUGUCAAUAGUUGUAUAGCAUGCUAUCAAAGUAGUAUGAACAGAUAAUCAGACCAUUGAUAUGGUUUAUAUUGAAGAUUAUUUAAGCUCAAGCUCAUUAGGAGAUACAAUGUUGAUUAGAAGUCCUCCUAAAAAAAUCAAGUUGAGGAACGUCGUCUUGCCCAAGUAAGAAUCGGCAGUCUUGCCUCUAAUAUUUAAGUCAUUCUAUACAGAUGUAAUUCAAAGAUAUUUGGAGCUAUAUACACUUGUCAAUUGCUAAUUUCUCAUCUCUGCUCAAUAUUUCAUCAUUCCUCCCUCCAGAUGUUCAAAGAUAACCUAAAGAGCGGCCCUAGAAGUGAAAAGGUCAUAAACAAAUACGCACGCACUAAAAGUCUGUCAGAUGGCCGAAGACGUGACAUGGUGAAAAUCUUUUGUCACAUUUGACAAAUGAACAUGGAACAAGCCCUUCCCCAAGUUUAAACGAAGAAUGUGCAAAGGGAAUCAUCUCCCUAUUCCCAUACUUGGUUGACCCCAGGAUCAAGUUUGGUUAUGUUGGGACAGCGACAUGUCCUCCAUUCUGGUGCUGGUUCACCUUUUGCCACCCUCAAGUCAACGCCGCCAAAGACUGGGAAAGAUCUCUGCUAGACAAGCAUGUGAUCGUCUUGUGAAAUUCAUCAAGACUGUUACCAGUAUCCAAGGGCACUUGGAUAGCAUUGGAGAGUCUCCAGCUGUAUCUACUUGUUGUUGGGCUAAAAAGAAGUAGGGUCCAGUCUUGUGUUAUUGUAAUUGUCCAACAUGCUCUACCCUGUAAGGCCUCUAAUUCACUGGCCUGUGUUGAUGAGUUUUUCAAAGCCAACUUUGUUUUAAGAACUUCAUACUGUCAGGAAUUGACCAUUGUGUAUAGCUUUCUGCAAAACACUGCCUAUGAUAUAGAUGCUGAAACCAUCAAGUGAUCAUGAUCACAAGUGAAUCAAAUGUAA